CCAGACUCCUACGGGAGGCAGCAGUGAGGAAUAUUGGGCAAUGGAGGCAACUCUGACCCAGCCAUGCCGCGUGAGUGAAGAAGGUUUUCGGAUUGUAAAGCUCUUUCGGAUGUGACGAUGAUGACGGUAGCAUCUAAAGAAGCCCCGGCUAACUACGUGCCAGCAGCCGCGGUAAUACGUAGGGGGCAAGCGUUAUCCGGAUUUACUGGGUGUAAAGGGAGCGUAGACGGCGAAGCAAGUCUGAAGUGAAAACCCAGGGCUCAACCCUGGGACUGCUUUGGAAACUGUUUUGCUAGAGUGUCGGAGAGGUAAGUGGAAUUCCUAGUGUAGCGGUGAAAUGCGUAGAUAUUAGGAGGAACACCAGUGGCGAAGGCGGCUUACUGGACGAUAACUGACGUUGAGGCUCGAAAGCGUGGGGAGCAAACAGGAUUAGAUACCCCAGUA
rnacentral:rRNA from 1 species